rnacentral:lncRNA from 1 species
GUCAAAAAAAAUUAGUGUCUCAAAAGAUUGAAAUGUUACAUUCCGACUGCCAAAGAAAAAAGACAUGCUUAUCAACUGUCUCACUCACUAUAAAACCAGCUUAAAAAUCAAUAUUAUGCCUCUCUUCCAAGUUGAAGAUGAAUGGAAAGGAAGUUGAAGAUGAAUGGAAAGGAAGUAUCCAGUAAAUAUGCAGUUAUGACUAUUUGUUGCUACUUUGAUUUCUUUGAAAACAAUAUGAUGCGAUGGGUAAGUGCAGGAGAAACCAAACUUCCUAUAUGUUUCACUAGAACAGCAUCAGAGAUGGGAGUUGAGCUGAGAG